UACCAUGUGUCUCACAUAUGAUUUGUUAUUGUUGAACAUAUGCUAAAUUUGACAUUUUCAUUCUGGAGCCAUCUUUACAGGCCAGUUUUUACCAGAUUAAAUCACCUAUGGCCUUUAAACUGCACAGAUACCCACAAAAGUUUGUUUUACAGCAGGAAAUAUCCUUACUUACUCAUAUACCCUUUGAGCAGUGGAUGCUUAAACUUUUAGAGAAAGACAUUUUGAGGGGCUGUAUGUGACAAAAAUCCCUAUAAAAUGACCAGAACUGAACAUAACCUUGCAGAUGAAGUAUAAUUGAUAUAUAUGUACCCAUAAGCAGAGUCAUAGUAAACAACAUUUAUAAGUAUCCCCCUCCCAUAUUUGGGGUUUAUUCCAUCAUACUGAUUCAUCUUCCACCAGAAAAGAAUAAACAAAAAAUUGAGGUGGGGUAAUUAAACUGGAUGAAUCAACAUGGAAUAGACCCACAAGACUUGAAAGUCAAGGACAACAGUUGCAAACUUACCCCAAAUGAGAAUGCUAUUAGUGAAGGUAACCUUUUCUGAGCACCUGCAUGUUUGCAAUAUAUUGUCCCCAGAAAUGUAACAUUGAUGCCAUAUAUAGUGUGUUGAUAAUUCUGUGAUAUAUGCAGUGGAAAAGACUUCACUGCAGUUCUGUGAGCCCAAAAUUCUCACAUUUUUUUGUGUAAUUGUUAGAUAUGUGUGACCUAGCACCAAUAUCCAGUUAGUGAAGUCACAAUUCGGUCAUCAUUUAAAUUAACAUGGUCGAGUUAACAGUCCGCAGCAUGUCCACAAUGGAAACAACAGAACAGAACAACACAAGGGUUUCCCCAAACACAUAUGCAUAUGCAGGUAUUGUCUAAACCAGUGAGAUUAAAGAUGUAAAUCAUGUUUUGUGUGUGUGUUUUGCAUAGCCUACUAAUUCAGACAAAACAGUCUCAGCCUAUGUGCAAGGUCAAGUAUGGAAGAGUAGUGGGGCUGUAAAGGGGGCGCAGAGAUUCGCUGCCACAGGGGCAGUUUCACACACCUUGACACCAAAUGUUUACACCAGGAAAGAACAUGACGGAGACGCGGGAGGUCAAUAGGCCAAUUGUGCUGAGAAAGCAAGUGUAACAAACAAACGGCAUUUACAGGGCAUCGCUUUUAUAGCCAGUUGUGGGUUUGUCAGAUACGGAAUAACUUUUCGACUUUUUAUGCAGCAACGGAGGGAAUGCCAAUCAUGACUAUCAAAAUAAACAAUUCUUCCAAACGAUGACCUAUUUCUCCGAACUCGGCUACUGAGUGCACCACCGAUUUUUUUUUUAAUGUAGGCUAAUGACUUGGUGGAUAAAGCGAAUCCGUAAAGUAGCUAUAGCUUAUUAUGCAGGUUGUGGUGGUGCCGUCGACAGGCGCGAAGGGCUAAAUAAAUAGGCUAUAUUAGCCUAUUUGGAGGUUAUCAGACUUCAUGACAGUCUGUUGUGUCAGCGAUAGCAUGGCUGGCAUGACACAUAAACGUUACGAAGUAUUUUGAUAAACCACCGAAAGGACACGGUCAAACGUAACGAUCUCUAACUGAAGUUUUCAGACCGCAGCAGCUGGAGAGGAAAAUCGCGGACCCUGGGUCCUAAAGCCUGCUCACUCCCGGCUACAGGUGAAUAAAUGCAGGUUGAGGCCGUCCGGACACAUGCAGGCUUCGGUAGGGUAAAUCGUUAAUGGCUUUGAAAACAUACAAAAUCCCUUAACAUCAGUAUCAUCAAAACGACCCAAGUCAUCAAACUUUAGUAAGCGCUAGAAAUCUGAGGCAAUUAACCUACACUUCAUGCACAUGGAAUUUUAAAGAUCAUGAUGUAGGCUCUUUUUUUAGCUUCCAGUAUCUUAAAUCACCAGCACUCCAAUCUGACAAAACAAACAAACAAACAAACAAGCAGACAAAUAAUUUUCACCCAGCAACUAUCUCAAAGUAAUAACAUUUCAGGCCCAUCCUCAACUAUAUUGGCUAACUAAAUAAGCAAAAACACUUUAUCCUAU
ensembl:lncRNA